rnacentral:rRNA from 1 species
AACGACUCUCGGCAACGGAUAUCUCGGCUCUCGCAUCGAUGAAGAACGCAGCGAAAUGCGAUACUUGGUGUGAAUUGCAGAAUCCCGCGAACCAUCGAGUCUUUGAACGCAAGUUGCGCCCAAAGCCUCCAGCUGAGGGCACGUCUGCCUGGGUGUCACGC